CGUUGUCUGUCCAAGUCGCCUUGCAUCUGCGUAAAUGCAUGUUCACCCAGGCUGACCGAAGUCUCUAGUUGGUUGGAUAUCUCCACGGUUUCAUCGCCUAAAUAAUGUAACAAAAACUUCAUUGAGGCAAAACUUUCACGUCUUUAGUAGCAUCGACUACAUCGCUAAAGUUCGCGGGUGGGAUAUUCAUUUCUUUGGACAGAUCGAGCGGCUUGUCAUGAAUUUCAGAUCAAUUACCGUGCAAUGCGUGUUGCGGAUUGUCAAUAAUUCGGAUCUGUCGAUCCGGUAGCAGAGGUUCGCCGUCCAUUCCACCGAUAUCACUUGGAAGUUGCCAGCGAGCGUUUUCCUGUUCCGCAGGUGUCCUCGGAAAAUAAUGCGGUAAGAGUACCUCGUAAAUUCCUAGAUCACAGGC